rnacentral:rRNA from 1 species
UACGUAGGGGGCAAGCGUUAUCCGGAUUACUGGGUGUAAAGGGAGCGUAGACGGCAGUGCAAGUCCGGAGUGAAAGCCCGGGGCUCAACCCUGGGACUGCUCUGGAAACUGUAAAGCUGGAGUGCGGGAGGGGCAGGCGGAAUUCCUGGUGUAGCGGUGAAAUGCGUAGAUAUCAGGAGGAACACCGGCGGCGAAGGCGGCCUGCUGGACCGUAACUGACGUUGAGGCUCGAAAGCGUGGGGAGCAAACAGG